rnacentral:rRNA from 1 species
AAUGAACGUUGGCGGCGUGGAUUAGGCAUGCAAGUCGCGCGAGAAGUUUCCUUCGGGAGACGGACAGCGGCGGAAGGGAGAGGAAUAAGUAGAAAUCUGCCCUCGGGACGGGGAUAGCGGCGGGAAACUGCCGGUAAUACCCGAUAACAUCUUUGGAUCAAAUGGUGUGAUUCCGCCUGAGGAUGAGUCUACUUCCUAUUAGCUAGUUGGCGGGGUAAUGGCCCACCAAGACAACGAUGGGUAGCGGGUGUGAGAGCACGAUCCGCCUCACUGGGACUGAGACACUGCCCAGACACCUACGGGUGGCUGCAGUCGAGAAUCUUCGGCAAUGGGGGAAACCCUGACCGAGCGACGCCGCGUGCGGGAUGAAGGCC